UAUUUAAUAUGUAAAUAUUACAUUAAAAAUUUAUUUGCAGUUUUUAGUUUUAAAACAUUAUUUAAGUAAGUUUUAGUAAUUAAUUAUAGAUUUAAUAAAAUUUGUGCCAGCAAUUGCGGUUAUACAAAUAAUUCAAUUGAAAUUUAUUGGUUAAUAAUUAAUUUGUUUUAAUUAAUUUAUUAUUAAAAUUUUUAAGUGAAAUUUAAAUUUUAAUAUAAUUUUUUUGUUUAUAUUUGAAGUUAUUAAAAUUAAUAUUAAACUAGGAUUAGAUACCCUAUUAUUAUAAUUGUAAAGUUUAAAUACCAGAUUAGUAUUAGUUGUUUUCUUAAAAAUUAAAGGAUUUGGCGGUAUUUUAGUCUAUUCAGAGGAACCUGUCCUGUAAUCGAUAAUCCACGAUUAGAAUAACUUUUCUUUUUCUUGUAUAUCGUUGUUUUUGAAUAUUUUAUAAGAAUUUAAAUUUUCAAUAAGUAUAUUUUAGUUAAUUUCAGAUCAAGGUGCAGUUUAUAGGAAAGAAGAUGAUGGGUUACAUUAAAUUUAUUUUUGGUUUAAUAUUUUGAAUAAUAUUAUUAAAUUGGAUUUGAUAGUAAUAUUUUAUAUAUUUAUUAUAUGAUUUUAGCUCUAAAAUGUGUACAUAUUGCCCGUCGCUCUCAUUUAUUUGAGAUAAGUCGUAACAAAGUAGAUUUACUGGAAAGUGAAUCUAGUAUUA
rnacentral:ncRNA from 1 species